UAGACAUUGGUUAAUGGAGUGAUUUGUCUGGUUUAUUCUGGUAACAAGUAACACUCAAGCAUGCUAACUAAUUAUAUGACCCUUGAGUGGUUGGCGACUCCAGCUUCUUAGAGGGACAAGUGGUGUUCAAUCACUAGAGUUUGAGCAAUAAUAGAUUUGUGA
rnacentral:ncRNA from 1 species